GGCCUAUAGUCUUUAUGAAACAGAUAGAAAUCAUACCCAAAUGAUACGUUAUUAUGUUGUUUAAAUACACAUUUUUUAUUUUCAGUGUAUAAUAUGUGAUAUUAAAUCAUGUUUAGAACACUAUUCAAUUCACCCUGACUGCGAAAAAAUUAUAUUUGAUACUUUUGUUAACUGAUAGUAAAUUCUAAUAGAAUGUUGUGUUUUUAUGUUUAGUUCAUUGAAAAAGCUCACUCUGCAGUUGCCUGAUGGAAAAAGGGUUUCCUUUCAUGUUGAUGAGGAGACGUACAGGCUUGCUGUAGAUGAAAAGGGUGAAGACACUAUUCGCUAUCUUGUCAGUCAGACAGUUGAUGGAGAGCAAGAUUCUGAUUCAUCAGAUGUUCCGGCCACCGAAGAUCAAUCAGUUGAUGCAAGUAGUUUGGACUCCAGAACUGCAGACUCAGGAGCUGCAUCUGCAUCAGGCUGCAUGUGCCUUUGAAAGAACUUGUGCCCAGAGUUAAUGAAGGAUAGCUGAAGUUGAUGAUUAAACAGAAAUAGAAUCUUCCGACUAAGGGCUCUUGAACAAGACACAGCAUGAAGAGCCGAGGUUGUGCUCUUGUCACAAGUUGUGUUCAGUCUAUGUUCGCCAUUAUUCAUUGUGAACUGUUAGUUAUGUAAAUUUAGCUUGCUAAAGGCCACAUAUUUUGCUUAAUCCUGAUUAAACUUGGUCAGAAUAUUUAUCAUGUCAAUAUGUAGGAAAGGUUUGAAUCUGUAUUAUUUGCCUCCUAGAACUAAAACCACAAAACCAAAUCUUUGAAAAAAAUGUUAUCACUUAAGAAGCCAUAUUUUGCAGCUCCAUCAUCAUGAAUCUUGGUCAAACUCCAUGUUUAUUAUGUUUAUUGUGACAAUAUUAAGGUAAAGUUUGAAUGUGGGACACAUGCAUUAAAAAUGUAGACCAAUUCUUAUAAAAAUAAUCAUAACACUAGAGGCCACAUUUACGAAUCCAAAUUGAUUAAAUGCGGUCAAAAUAUUCAUCGUGACACUAUGUGGACAGAGUUUGAAACUGGGCCCUGCGUGUCCAAAAACUUGGUCACCAGGUAAAAUCUUAGAAAACUCUUUUUACAACUCUAGAAGCCAAAUUUACUUUGUCUAUAUGUUUUUCUUGCUGAUUCCAAUGCCAUGUUUGUAAAAUUAUCACCAGGUCACGUUUUCAACAAUUGGACUAAGGUGUGCGCUUUAAGACAUCAUGACCCGAUCGUUUAGAUGAAAACUUGCAAUAAGUGGUCAAUACAAUCAUUGUGGUAUAUCAAAUUACAGAUUAAUCAUAGAACAAUAAUGCAACUCUUUUUCAGCAAUUACCCUUUUUCAUGAAAUGUAUCAUGCAGUAAAUAGUCAGAAUGUGUUACAUACAGAAAAAACACUAGAAUAUGACAAAGUGGAAUGUGAUGAAAUACAAAGUGACUACUGUUUAUGCGGAUUAUUAUUACAUAGUGGAAAAGUGGACAAUAACAUAUCAUAGAGUAAAAUUGAUGUUAAGUUAAUUUUAACAGGAUGUGAAGAAAUACAGAGUGACUUUGUUACCACCAUUGGAUAAAUCAAUGAGGAGUUUGAAAAGUGUGUAAUAAUUAAUAAAUAUGUGUAAUCAGUACACAAUAUGUGAUGUUUAAGUAACUAAAUUAAUAAAUCGAAUGUGAGAAAAUGCAAAGGGACAUUUCUAUUGUAUUAGUGGAUAAAUCAUUGAUUAGUGUGAAGAGUGGUAAACAUAAUCAGGGAUAAGCAAGCAUCUAUCAAUAAACAUUAAUAGAGGUUUGGAAAAGUUACUUAACUUGUGUUUACUAUGAAAAGUGUUCAAUGUUGAGAGCGUGAUGAAGUUUUUUGUAAUAAAACUGGAUAAUAAUGGAAUACACUGCAAAUGGUUGACAGUUCCAGUUGAGGUUGGCAGUUCACCAGUUGACAUCUAUGGAGUAUGCGUAUAUCAGUUCAUGGUAUUAAACAUCCAGAAAACCAUCUAGUAUGUAUGAAAGAUCCAAUCCUGAUUGGGCCCCAACACUACUUCUUGGAGAAGACUUGACACCAAGUAAAUCUUUGAAGAAAGAGAAGAAGAUAGAAACUAACAAAAAAAGAUACCAGAGGAAGUUGGAUAGGGAUGAGGUUCGAGAGAAGCAGCAUGUGGCCAGAGCACUUAUUGAGUUACAGUCUGAAUCGCCUGAGAUUCAUGAAAUAUUCACAGCGGUGCCGCUUACCUCUGACAGUCAUGAAGCAUUCACAGCCUUGCUGCUUGCCUCUGAGAGUCCUUCCAAGCCCCCCAAUAUAUCUGUCGAAAGUGAACUUCCGGAGAGCCCAUCUACUCCACGAGUAACACAGAGUCAGGUAGAUAGUGAAAUACAAAGACUGAUCUCUGAGAACAUGCAGCGGAAAGCUGAAUUGCAAGCACAUCAGCUGUCAAAGGAAAGUUUUGAACAUGACAAUGAAAAGGUUAAAUACUAUACAGGUCUGCCAAACUUCCGCGUCCUUAUGAUAGUGCUUAACAUAGUAACUCCAUUCAUCUGUACAAAAAAUAUAGGCUUUGGGACAUUUGAAAGACUAUUAAUGACAUUGAUGCGCCUUAAGCUCAAUAUGCCGGUGCAAGACUUAGCUUACAGGUUUGGUGUCUCCAUGUCAACCGUGUCUAGGAUUUUUCUAGUCAUGAUACACAUUCUAUACAUCCAACUGACACACUUGAUUUACUGGCCAGAGAGAGAGGAGUUACAGAAGACAAUGCCAAUAGAAUUCAGAACACACUUCUCAAAAAAAAACUGCUGUCAUAAUUGACUGUUUUGAAAUAUUCAUUCAAAGACCCAAAGGACUUAUGGCAAGAGCUCAGACCUGGAGCUUUAACAAACAUAAUAAUACUGUUAAAUUCUUGAUUGGAAUAACACCCCAAGGAUCUAUUUCAUUUCUUUCUUCAGGGUGAGGCGGCUAGGCCUCUGACAAGUGUAUGACAGAAGGUUGUGGUAUUUUAGGCAAGCUUCUGCCAGGUGAUUUAGUUUUAGCAGAUCGUGGUUUUGACAUUGCAGACAGUGUCGGUGUUCAUUGUGCGGAAAUAAAUAUACCAGCAUUUAUGCGUGGUAAGGCCCAGUUGUCAGCCAUAGAUGUUGAAACAACUCGAAAAAUUGCACAUGUGAGAAUCCAUGUUGAAAGAGUCAUAAGUCUUGUCCGCAACAUAUAUACCAUCUUGCAAGAUAAACUUCCCAUAGACUAUUUCAUGAACGAAAAAGGAAGUGUUCCCGCAAUUGAUAAAAUAGCUACGGUUUGUUGUGCGUUAACCAACAUGAAUGAAUCUGUAGUUGGGUUCAAUUAAUAAGUUUUUUUGUGAAGGUAACUGUCAAAACAACAUGAAAGUGACAUCUAAAGGAUCAUAUGAAAUGAAUGUGCUACCUGAUAUAUAUUACUGUCUAGAUAUCAUAAGAAUAAGUCUAAAGUGACAGAAUAUUAUGCUUCAUCUUUUAUUGCAUUUCGAUUUUAACGUGUAUAUAUUGUAUAAUUUUGAAUGAAUGCAAAAAUAAUUUUUAAAAUAACACCAUCUUGAAAUGCCAGGCUUGGUUAUGCGGAGACCUGAAUCAGUUUUUAAUACGUACUAGUGGUAACAUGAGAAUGAUUAUGUAUUGUACAUUUAUUUAUUUCUGUCACUAAAUAAAAUAUAUAAACAUA